GUCCUUCCUCCGCCCCUCGUUCCAGUCUCUCCGGCGUUCCUGGCUGUGCUCGCAUUCCUCUCUCUCUCUCUCUUUCUUUCUCUCUCGCGUGACGGGCCUCUGCGAAAUCCUCUUUAGAGAAGGGGAUAAAACUUGGUUUGAGGUUUUUACAUAUUUGGUGAGCAUGGAGUUCAGUCUGCUUCUUUUUGUAAGCUGUCUAAUUGCUGCAACUGGGAAAAACCUUCCCAUUUACCCUUUUUAAUUCUUAUCAAAUUUUGAUCAGAUGAUUAACGUCUACAUUUUUUUUUAUAUGUUAUUUUAUCGACGAUGAACAUCACACUUGCUCGAGUGGAAAAGUCAAGCAGGAGGUCGUAUGAUGUUCGAGCUAUGAGUAAGUUAGCUGCUGUUGAAUUUGAGGAUAAACAGUUCUCAAGACCUGGCAUAGGAAUUCAUGCUUCCUGCACAGGAUUUGUGGAGCUGCUCCAAUUUGUUGUCAAUUUCUUACUUUGUCGAGCAAAUUUUUGAGAUAUUGUUAAUAGGACAACUACAACAAUUGUGAUUGGCCGAAUAUAGAUCAAGCAUAAUUGGGCAGAUCUUAGGACAAGCUAUAACGGGGGGACGGUGACAGCAAAUCCAUCAUAAGUAUGGUUCCUGGCAGAGUUGAGGUCCCAUCUCUUUACAUGAUCUCGCAUCUUCCUAGCUCCUCAUGUUCUUAGUUGGGUUAAAGUGUUGGCGAUAGUCUUAUUAUUAAAAAGAUUUCAAUUGACUCUCGACAAUCCUGUUGCUUGUACAUGUAUAGGCACGGACUUUGAUGAAUUCUAUGGCUGGUCUGUUUAUUCCUCUUCAAAAAGGAAAUUUUGGUUACACUAUCUUUUUUGGGAGAAAGUGAUUCACCAACUUAGUGUGGGAGAAGCAAGUUGGUAC